GUUGCAGAAAACCACCCUUGUAAAUCCAGGUAAAGCGAAAAAAGAAGUUUGCAGAGUGCAUUGCACAAACUUAUUCAGGAUUCACUGGUGGAGACUGCCAAAGAGCAAGCUAGUUCCAUAAGCAAUAUGAUUACACAGUCUACCAAGUAGAAUUUUGUUCCCAUUGUUUUUGCUGAUAUCAUGUGAGAGAUGAAAAUUCAUUGUAUAUGGUCUUCUGAGCUUUUUCAUACACUUUAUUUUUCCUUUCUGUAAUGUUAGAACAACAUGAUUGUUCCGAACUUGUUUUUCCUACGUGAAGUAACUGACAUUUUUACCCCAUCAUUAUUGAAAAUUAUCGAAUCGAGAAUUUAAAACUGA